UACGUAGGGUGCGAGCGUAAUCGGAAUUACUGGGCGUAAAGCGUGCGCAGGCGGUUCGUUGUGUCGGUGGUGAAAGCCCCGGGCUUAACCUGGGAAUGGCCAUGGAAACUGGCGAACUGGAGUGUGGCAGAGGGGGGUGGAAUUCCGCGUGUAGCAGUGAAAUGCGUAGAGAUGCGGAGGAACACCGAUGGCGAAGGCAGCCCCCUGGGCUAACACUGACGCUCAGGCACGAAAGCGUGGGGAGCAAACAGG
rnacentral:rRNA from 1 species